CAGAGUUCAUGCCCCUCGGGGUAGACCUCCCACCCUAUGUAUACCUUACCUUUGUUGCUUUGGCGGGCCGCCAUUGGCCACCGGCUCCGGUCGGUGCGCGCCCGCCAGAGAACCCAAACUCUGUUUUAUCAUGUUGUCUGAGCACUAUUUAAUAGUUA
rnacentral:misc_RNA from 2 species